GAUGGACGCUGGCGGCGUGCCUAAUACAUGCAAGUCGAGCGAACAGACGAGGUGCUUGCUCCUCUGACGUUAGCGGCGGACGGGUGAGUAACACGUGGAUAACCUACCUAUAAGACUGGGAUAACUUCGGGAAACCGGAGCUAAUACCGGAUAAUAUAUUGAACCGCAUGGUUCAAUAGUGAAAGACGGUUUUGCUGUCACUUAUAGAUGGAUCCGCGCCGCAUUAGCUAGUGGGUAAGGUAACGGCUUACCAAGGCAACGAUGCGUAGCCGACCUGAGAGGGUGAUCGGCCACACUGGAACUGAGACACGGUCCAGCCUCCUACGGGAGGCAGCAGUAGGGAAUCUUCCGCAAUGGGCGAAAGCCUGACGGAGCAACGCCGCGUGAGUGAUGAAGGUCUUCGGAUCGUAAAACUCUGUUAUGAGGGAAGAACAAAUGUGUAAGUAACUAUGCACGUCUUGACGGUACCUAAUCAGAAAGCCACGGCUAACUACGUG
rnacentral:rRNA from 1 species